rnacentral:rRNA from 1 species
AUGUCCAUUUGGAUGCAAGCCAAACAAUUGGCGCGCCCACACCUCCACAAUAUCUCAAGUUCAAUUCCCAGCCAAUAUUUUGGCAAGGCGUGGGCAGAUGAUUCCUGCGCCAAUAUUUUGGCAAGCCCAAGAUUGGCAAAGUUGGCGCUGGAUCAAACCAAACAGCCCCUAAGCAGCGGCGACGGCAGGGAUGCAGCGGCUGCUCCAUCCGGCGAGAUGCCGGUGAGGAAGGCAAGGUGGCGCAGGGCAGACGCGGAUCUGGUCGACGACGGGGUCAAGGAAGCUUCGGGCGGCAGCGAUGCUUCACGCCACCGGAUCUGGCGGGGUUCCAGUCAACAGGGGAGGCAGCGGCGCUUGACGCUCGACCUGCAGGGAAGCAGAGGGACUUGGCGCAGGGUCAAUGCAUGA